CACCACCUGGUACAGGGAACGCUGGAGGCACCUAAAUAGGUGCCUUGGCCAACCCUGUGGCGAGCUUAGGUAGCGCUGAGCCGUCGCAACGCGCGCAAAGGGGUGGGCCAUUAGUUAUAUUAAUGGCUUAAGGUACGUGCUAAUCCCUUGGGUAACCAAGCCUGUGUGAUGAGACCCGACAGGUCAAGGCACAUGGGG
rnacentral:rRNA from 1 species